UUUAGCAGGUGCUUAAGUUUCUUCCUACUUCCAUCAGUGGGAGUGAGUGGGACGCGGCUGAAUUCCUCCAGCCUUUGUGCUGCUGGGAGUAAGAAGCAGCACGAAGGGCUUCUGAAGGAGUUUUCUCCUGCCACAGGCUGAGUGAGGGCUGCAGAAGGGCCUCUGGUCAGCCUGAAUCAGUGAGCAGUUCUGGAAGCCAUAGGUUUGUGGAAGUGGUGAGUGCUGGGAGUCACUAGGUGAGUUCUGUCGUCUUGGGGCUUGCGUAGGGCACUGCUUGAAUGCUUCUCUUUCUUUAGGAUGGGCAUGGUGCUGUUGCUGGGUUCUCCUGGGACUGCUGCUGAACUCUGUGAGGCCAAGCAUGACCCUGGGCUGGCCUCAGCCCCCAGGAAGGGUUUUGUGGGCGUUUCAGCCCCUCCUGCUUCUGGUAGCAGGAGCAAGGAGAAUGGGACCAUGUAUAUCUUUCCUUCCCCAGUGUGUAAUUUUGGGAGCACGAUGUCAUUCCUACUGUGGAGGCACAGUGAGACAGCUCACAUGACUGGCAUGGCGCUGUGGAUGGCUGUGUUCUUUUUAGGAAAGAUGGACUAGCAAGGUGGUGGAACAGCUGCUCUUCCAGUGAGAAAACCGGAGCAUUCUGAGCUCUGCCUAGGGAUGAACGAAGAAGUAGCAGAGCACUUGCAGGUGAGACUCAAGGGGUAGGUAAAUCUUGGAGACAUGGCUGGGGGUGUUUGUUACAGACCAGGAAGAGGAAGUCGGUAAGACCUCCAGCAUGCAGCUGAAAGUAGCCUCGCAGCUGUAGGCAUUAGUUCUCGGCUAGGUCCUGCAGUCGGGGGGAAAAACCAGUACAGGUCAGGGUCUGGUCUCUCGGAAGACCCGAGAAGUGCUCGGCGGUGCUAGCAGGUAACGGGUAGCCGCGAGCCAGCAGCGCGCCCUCGCGGCCGAGAAGGCCAGCGUUACCGUGGGCGCAUCAGCACGAACGCGGGCAGCGGGGAUUCUACCCUUCUAAUCCGCCCCGGCGAGGCCACGUCUGGAUAUUUCGUCCAGUUCUGGGCUCUGCAGGGCAAGAAAGACAGCAAGCUUGCGGAGAGAGUCCAGGGGAGAGCAACAAAAACUGAUGAGGGAUCUGGAGCUUCUCCCUUCCAAGGAACAGAUGAGAACUGGGAAGGCUGGAUGGGGCGAACCUCACCGUUGUUGGACUCCUGCACUUCAGGUAUUUACUAGUUGAUGGGACGUGUGCAGUGGUAGAAUGGAGCUAAUGUUUCCAGACCUUAACACAAGUUCUCUUUAAGCACAAGGGAGAACAAUUUUACUGCGGGAGUGACAGGAUAGGCUGCUUGGAGAGGUUGCGGAGUCCUCCUCUGGGGGUAUUCAAGCUGUGUCUGGAUGCUUUCCUGGGUAAUAUGCUGUAGGGGAGCUGCUUUCCCAAAGGAUGGGACUGGAUGAUCCCUGGGGGGGGGCCUUUCCAGUCCCUAUGGCCCUGUGAUUCUGAUCUUUUUGCAGGGUGAGGGCUGCAGCGGAGCCUUUUGCAGUGAGGAUUAGCCCAGAAAUGUGAGCAGUUUCAUCUUUGGGAUGAUGGAGCAUGUGCUGCCCUUGGGAUGGAGGUUAUGGCUGAGGCUGGGUGCCAGAGGACAAAAGCUGUGUCUGUGUGGAGGCGCUUUCCUGGAGGAAUGGAGUGAGAGGUCCAGGUGCAGCUGGUGUUUGAAGAAGGUCAAUGUGGUUGCUGUGGAGUGGCAGUCCUGAAGGCUGUAGAGGUGACCUGAGAGGUAGGUGUUGGGGUGUGUCCCACAGGCAAUCUCCUGGCUGUGUCAGAUCCUCCUGGAUCUUUGUUUCCUGAGACUUAGAGGUGGUGGUUGAAGUGGUUUGUGAAAGUAGGGAUGGGGCUUGGUGGACCCAAGCAGCAUGCCAGGUGGGGGGCAGAAUGGGGCUGUGCACUGAUGGGGUUUCAUGUUGGUUGAUUCAGCUUAGAAGUUUGUGAGAGGGCAGAGCUGGGCAGUCCCAGUGGUUUCUCUGUGCCUGUGCUGUAACUGUAUCAGCUGGAAUGUUGUGGGUUUUUUUUUUGUGUGAGGAGGCUUGUUUCAAUUUUGAAGUGGUGCUGGGGGCAUUAUCUGAUUGGGCUUAGAUGUUUUAGGGUAGAAGUAGAAAGUGUGAUUCCUCUUGGCUUAGGAGGAGGUGUGAGUGUUUUGGUAGAAGGAGUCAUCUGGGGGAUGAAAGAUGUGUGGGCUGUUUGUUUAGGGGGCUGGAGAGUGGGGUUUGCACUAUCUCAAAGAGAUUAUAUUUUUUUUUUUUGGUGGGAGGGUGGGAACUGCUGGUCGGCAUUGGUGGUGGGCAAUGAAGUGGGGGGGGGCUCCCCUGUGUGGGGGCUCCCCUGUGUGGGGGCUCCCCUGUGUGGGGGCUCCCCUGUGUGGGGGCUCCCCUGUGUGGGGGCUCCCCUGUGUGGGGGCUCCCCUGUGUGGGGGCUCCCCUGUGUGGGGAUGGUUGCUUUGUGGUGGUGCUCCUUCUCCUGGGCUGGGAGGGAGGACUUUAGUGCUGGGUUCUAUGUUGGGCAGGAGGGCAAAGUUCAAUUUGCUUCAAACCUCAGGUAAAACCUUUUUGAAAUAACUCCUGGUCUGUGGCUUAAGAGGCCUCUGUGUAGUCACUUACUGUGUUCUGGGGGUGUGGGGAAUCCUUCCUCUUUGAAAGGGUUUGAGUGACAACAGCUGGAGGUGAAAUGCCCCUGUGGUGCAUGUCCAAGUAUAAAUCCUGUGGAUGCUAUGGCUGUUGUAUGGUAUUAACAACCUAAAUAGACUGAGAUUGUUAGGAAGGAAGAAAGCUGUUGUGGUGACAACUUUUUUGGCAACUACUCUAGGAAAAAAAUCUAACAAGAAAAUAAAAAUGGAAACACUUGGGAAUCCUCUUCUGAGAGAUCUAUGACAAGGCCAAAUCAGUUUUUAAUUUUAUGUAAUUGUAGAAAUUCUCUCUUGUGUAUGUGUAAAACAAGGUUUUACUCAUAGCAUUUAAGAGAAUACCUCAAAAAAUGAACUAGAUUGAAUCAAUUGGCAGGCAAUUUAAAACAUAGCAAAGAGUUCAUUCCCAUUUAAGAGAGACAUCCUACUUUCUUGCUAAAGCAAGACUGUGUAGGUGGACUCUUAAGUAUUACUGUGUUCUUUAGUUUAGACACAAAAAUAGUGCUAACAACAGUUUGCUUUCCAACUCACAAAAGCUAUGAACUCUAUAAAACAUCACUGGCUCAUUGCAGCUCUUUGGAAAGACUGUUUCUACCCGAGGCAGAAAUGCUCUGCAUUACAGGUAGGAAGUAGCAUGCCUAACAAUCUCUGUAGCAAAAUGGAACAGCUAGACUUAGCAAGCUGAGGCUUUCAGGGUGAAGUGGAUACCUUCUGUUUUCAACUUAAAAAUAAGCACAAAACCCAAUAAAUUCUUGCUUACCACAAAA